rnacentral:rRNA from 1 species
CAUAGCGACUAUCGUGGCAUAUCAAUAAGCGGAGGAAAAGAAACUAACAAGGAUUCCCCUAGUAACGGCGAGUGAAGCGGGAAGAGCUCAAAUUUGAAAUCUUAAAGGGUUUCCCUUGACGAAUUGUAGUUUAUAGAAGUGUUUUCUGUUGAAGUUUCGGUAAGAGUUCUUUGGAAUAGGACAUCGAUAGAGGGUGAGAAUCCCGUAUUUGACCAUUACUUUCAGCUGUGUGAUACACUUUCAAAGAGUCGGAUUGUUUGGGAAUGCAGUCCAAGAUGGGUGGUAAAUUUCAUCUAAAGCUAAAUAUUGGCGAGAGACCGAUAGCGAACAAGUACCGUGAGGGAAGGAUGAAAAGAACUUUGAAAAGAGAGUUAAACAGUACGUGAAAUUGUCAAAAGGGAAGCGUUUGACACCAGUGUUGUUUAGUUGAAAAUCAAUUCAAUAAUUUUUGAUUUUAAGUAGUAUUGACUUCAUCAGCUUGCUGCUUUCUUUUCAGGAAUUAUUGAAUGCACUUUUCAGUUAACAAGUCAACAUCAAUUUCUUUUGUUGUAAAAGGGUAAGAGGAAGGUGGCUUACGUUUCGGCGUAAGUGUUUAUAGCCUUUUACCUCUGCAAUCGGAGAGAUUGAGGACAGCAGCGUAGACUCCUUCUGGGGUUAGAUACACUUGUGCUAAGCUAUAGCCUUGUAUAGACAACUUGUUGACUAUGCUCAGUCAUGUAGCUUACUCGCUUGUGCUAUUUUACCUACGCUUAGGAUGUUGAUAGUCACAGCGUGUAC